AUAAACUGCUCACUCAACUGCAGCGGCACUGAACAAUCACAUCAUUUGGCCACUUAAUUGUCGCCAUAUGUGGUCCAGCACCAGAAUACGUUAAGUGAUAUUGACAAUGAAUACUAAUGUCAUGCAGUAUAAGUGAAUCUGCUCAUGCUGCGUGAAGUAAAGUAAUUUCCAAGCGAUUUGCGUCAUCAAACAAAUUGCCCGAUUCCUGAUUAGAAGGGAAAAAAAACAGUGAAAACGAUAUUUUAAUGAGAUUUAUCUCCACGCAUCGAUGUGUACCAUCGUGGCGCAUGCAUCCAACUCCGGGUCGGUGCAUCAAUGAGAGACGUUCGUACGUGAGACCACCACGAGCGAUUUGCCCGCGAGGUUGGCUUGCACCAGGCAGUACAGCAGUGCUCAGCACAGCAAUAGAAGCAGCAGCAGCAGCACAAUGUUGGCUGCCCACAGGAUUAGUAGCCAGGAACCUCCUUCUCACGCAGCCAAGAGUCUGCGUCUCCCCGGGCCGGGCCAGGGGCAGGGCGCGCGGAGCACCGCACUAAGCCGACUCGGCUGCUUAAACAGCGACAACUGCUGCCGCUGCCGCCGCUGCUGCUGCUGCUGCUGGUAAUGUGGCCGCCUCUUGGAUGAUGAAGGCGGCGAUCGUGCGAGCACCAUCUGUUAACAAGCGGCCACUCCCGCAUGGGAAUAAUAACGCGGCUGCACACACACACACAACGCGCACACACACACAAUGCGCACGCACACACAAUGCGCACACACAACGCACACACACACAAUGCGCACACACACACACAACGCACACACACACCUUGCACACACACACACCUUGCACACACCUCGCACACACACACAACGCACACACACACCUCGCACACACACAACGCGCACACACACCUUGCACACACACACACCUUGCACACACCUCGCACACACACACAACGCACACACACACCUUGCACACACACACAACGCGCACACACACCUCGCACACACCUCGCACACACACGCGCGCGCGCGCGCCCUGCACACACGUGCUUUGCACACACACAGACAAAGAUCCCCCCGCGCCCUGUAUAGGCUUAACAGACUGUUGGGGCAAGUGCUGUUAGUGAGUGGCAAAACCACGGGGUGGUUUGGCCAAACAAACAAAACAACGCGCGCAGCCGCCUUUGUCUCCCCCGGUGGCAAUGUGAGCACCUCGCACGAGCUACCCGUGAGAGGUCGAGGCGACCUCGGGACAGGCCCGUGACCGGUUCUGAUAAUCGUCACAGGUGUUGGUGGUCGUGAGCGGGAAUCGAACUUGGGUGGCCGGGUUUGUAGAGCAGCGCGCCCACCACUGCGUCACAGCUCCCCAUUGUGUAAGGUACACACACACGCACACGUACAUGUGGCAAAUCCUACUAAUUACAUGACUUGAAAAUUACUCCGCAAUUUGCAGAA